GAGCUGACACUAGGUGGUGCCUGAUCCACGGCACGGACGGCUAAGGUUUUCGAGUCCAGCCGAAUUCUGAGAAGCCAGGCUAGUGGCUGAGCACAGAACUUCCAAAAGAUUCCAUAGCAUCAGGAUAACCAUAUACUGUCUGCAUCAUGUCGGCUUCUAUGCAUUCCUUCCAGGACUGAGGCGGCACUUCAGCAGAAAAUCCAAGAUCCCGACUUGACUAAGGCAGAGGAAGAAAGAGCUCCAUGAAAUCCCAAUAGGCAGGGCCUAUGACCCUCAGCAGUAAGCAGAUACAGAAGAGACCUCGCAUCUCUUAACAUCCAUACUAAUAAAAAGGGGCUUCAUGGCUCUUAGAAAAGAGUUAGGCAGGAAAGUUAGGGGGUUUCAGGUCUGCAUGCAAAAACACUGAAGUCAUCCUAUCCUAGAAGUAGUCCACUCUAAUCCACCCACAAUUAAGCA